GUGGUAUUAAUAUCGGUUCUACGUCUGCUAUAUCAUUCUGAGUAUUCUUCUUUUAGUUUUAGUUUUGUUUUGUUUUGUCCUAGCGUUAUUGGGGUUUUUUUCUACUCCUUUGCUGUUUGAGUUGUGUUUGCCUUAUCUGUUGGAUCAGCUAUUAAAUGAAACUCUAUCGAAGGUUUUAUUUCGCCUUCUAUAAAGCUACUUUUUCUCUGUAAUGUGUGUUAUCUUUGCUUAAUUAAAAUUUGUAAUUUCAUAACGCAUGAAAAGCAAUAAGUGAACAUCCUACUUGAAUUGAUGUCGAUGAAAACACCAAAAGAUAACUGUGUCGUG
rnacentral:lncRNA from 1 species